rnacentral:rRNA from 1 species
UACGGAGGGUGCAAGCGUUAUCCGGAUUUACUGGGUUAAAGGGUGCGUAGGUGGAUAAUUAAGUCAGUGGUGAAAUCUUCAGGCUUAACCUGGAAACUGCCAUUGAUACUAUUGUCUUGAAUACUUUGGAGGUAAGCGGAAUAUGUCAUGUAGCGGUGAAAUGCUUAGAUAUGACAUAGAACACCAAUUGCGAAAGGCAGCUUACUACACAGUAAUUGACACUGAGGCACGAAAGCGUGGGGAUCAAACAGG